UACGAAGGGGGCUAGCGUUGUUCGGAAUUACUGGGCGUAAAGCGCGCGCAGGCGGUCUUCCAAGUCAGUGGUGAAAGCCCGGAGCUCAACUCCGGAACUGCCAUUGAAACUGUAAGACUUGAGGAUGAGAGAGGUGAGUGGAAUUCCCAGUGUAGAGGUGAAAUUCGUAGAUAUUGGGAAGAACACCGGUGGCGAAGGCGGCUCUCUGGGACGGUACUGACGCUGAGACGCGAAAGCGUGGGGAGCGAACAGG
rnacentral:rRNA from 1 species